GAUGAACGCUGGCGGCGUGCUUAACACAUGCAAGUCGAACGGAAAGGCCGAAGCUUGCUUCGGUACUCGAGUGGCGAACGGGUGAGUAACACGUGGGUGAUCUGCCCUGUACUUCGGGAUAAGCUUGGGAAACUGGGUCUAAUACCGGAUAUGACGAUCUCUUGGAUGGGGUUGUGGAAAGCUUUUGCGGUAUGGGAUGAGCUCGCGGCCUAUCAGCUUGUUGGUGGGGUAAUGGCCUACCAAGGCGUCGACGGGUAGCCGGCCUGAGAGGGUGUACGGCCACAUUGGGACUGAGAUACGGCCCAGACUCCGACGGGAGGCAGUAGUGGGGAAUAUUGCACAAUGGGCGCAAGCCUGAUGCAGCGACGCCGCGUGGGGGAUGAAGGCCUUCGGGUUGUAAACUCCUUUCGCAAUCGAAGAAGCCUUUUGGUGACGGUAGGUUGAGAAGAAGCACCGGCUAACUACGUG
rnacentral:rRNA from 1 species